rnacentral:rRNA from 1 species
CGUAGGCGGCCUUCUAAGUCGAACGUGAAAUCCCUGGGCUCAACCCAGGAACUGCGUCCGAUGCUGGAAGGCUUGAAUCCGGGAGAGGGAUGCGGAAUUCCAGGUGUAGCGGUGAAAUGCGUAGAUAUCUGGAGGAACACCGGUGGCGAAGGCGGCAUCCUGGACCGGUAUUGACGCUGAGGCGCGAAAGCCAGGGGAGCAAACG